rnacentral:rRNA from 1 species
UACGGAGGGUGCGAGCGUUGUCCGGAAUCACUUGGCGUAAAGGGCGCGUAGGCGGCGCGAGGAGUCGGGGGUGAAAGUCCGGGGCUCAACCCCGGAUCGGCCUUCGAUACUCUCGCGCUGGAGCACAGUAGAGGCGGGUGGAAUUCCGGGUGUAGCGGUGGAAUGCGUAGAGAUCCGGAAGAACACCGGUGGCGAAGGCGGCCCGCUGGGCUGUGGCUGACGCUGAGGCGCGACAGCGUGGGGAGCAAACAGG